rnacentral:rRNA from 1 species
GUGGGGAAUAUUGGACAAUGGGCGCAAGCCUGAUCCAGCCAUGCCGCGUGAGUGAUGAAGGCCCUAGGGUUGUAAAGCUCUUUCACCGAUGAAGAUAAUGACGGUAGUCGGAGAAGAAGCCCCGGCUAACUUCGUGCCAGCAGCCGCGGUAAUACGAAGGGGGCUAGCGUUGUUCGGAUUUACUGGGCGUAAAGCGCACGUAGGCGGAUUGGUCAGUUAGAGGUGAAAUCCUGGAGCUCAACUCCAGAACUGCCUUUAAUACUGCCAGUCUAGAGUCCAGAAGAGGUGAGUGGAACUCCUAGUGUAGAGGUGGAAUUCGUAGAUAUUAGGAAGAACACCAGUGGCGAAGGCGGCUCACUGGUCUGGUACUGACGCUGAGGUGCGAAAGCGUGGGGAGCAAACAGGAUUAGAUACCCGGGUAGUCC